rnacentral:rRNA from 1 species
CACAGUAAGAGCUUGCUCUUAUGGGUGGCGAGUGGCGGACGGGUGAGGAAUACAUCGGAAUCUACUCUGUCGUGGGGGAUAACGUAGGGAAACUUACGCUAAUACCGCAUACGACCUACGGGUGAAAGCAGGGGAUCUUCGGACCUUGCGCGAUUGAAUGAGCCGAUGUCGGAUUAGCUAGUUGGCGGGGUAAAGGCCCACCAAGGCGACGAUCCGUAGCUGGUCUGAGAGGAUGAUCAGCCACACUGGAACUGAGACACGGUCCAGACUCCUACGGGAGGCAGCAGUGGGGAAUAUUGGACAAUGGGCGCAAGCCUGAUCCAGCCAUACCGCGUGGGUGAAGAAGGCCUUCGGGUUGUAAAGCCCUUUUGUUGGGAAAGAAAUCCAGCCGGCUAAUACCUGGUUGGGAUGACGGUACCCAAAGAAUAAGCACCGGCUAACUUCGUGCCAGCAGCCGCGGUAAUACGAAGGGUGCAAGCGUUACUCGGAAUUACUGGGCGUAAAGCGUGCGUAGGUGGUCGUUUAAGUCCGUUGUGAAAGCCCUGGGCUCAACCUGGGAACUGCAGUGGAUACUGGACGACUAGAGUGUGGUAGAGGGUAGCGGAAUUCCUGGUGUAGCAGUGAAAUGCGUAGAGAUCAGGAGGAACAUCCAUGGCGAAGGCAGCUACCUGGAC